AUUAAAGGUCUCCAAAGACAAAUUGAUAUGAUAUCUCAACGUAAGGAGUUAAAAGACCACAGGUGGCCAGACCUCCAAGUUGCUUCUUGGCCGCUCAGAGAAAUAGACAUGGGAUAUGCAAAGCAGACAGAUAGCUCUUCAUGUGGCCUCUUUCUUUUGAACUAUAUCGAAUACUGGACAGGGGAUGAACUGUCUGACAGUUUUACCCAGGAUGACAUGUCACACUUUAG